GGAACUAGCAGAGGUGGAAAAUACAGUGAAAAAACAUUGGAAAUAUGGAAAUAGAGAAUGUAAACAAAGAGUGCGUACCUUGCAGGAAAAUGGUAAUUUAUCUCUAUGUAAAACAUUUGGCAUUUUGACCGAGGAUUAUAUUCAUUUAUGAAAAGGUAUAUUUAUGUUCCUGCUGGUGGAUCUCAUAAUGGCAUAAUAAAACAACUUCUUGCAUCUGCUGUGAGUUUCUGCUAUGUGUUUUACUGGCACGGAAUGAGGGAGCACUUGUUUAUUUGGACCCUUUUGAACUUUAUUGUUGUUGGUUUAGAGUCACUGUCAAGGAAAAUUCUUUAUGUUCCCUUUCUUGCAAACAUUUGGGUAAGUAUUAUAUCUUAAUUAGAUAACAUAAGUUUA